GAGUUUGGCUAACAUUUCAGCUACAUGCUGGCUGCUUUGGCUAAUUUAUGCUUUUCUUUUUAUGUUUUUUAUGCUGUUUUGGAGCUAGACCAAUACACUAGCUGUUCUGGGUAAUUUAAUUUUUUUUCAGUUUUUUUAAAGGAUAUUUUGAAGUUCAACUAUUUUUAUUUUUUUUCUCAGCUACAUACUCGCCUGUAAACAAGCAUGUGACCUCAAUAUUAACUCGAAUGAUUUUUGCGGGGCAUGUUUGACUUGUGCAAGGCACAAUCCACAAGAGAACUUGAGACCGAAGCGGGGAAAAUUCACUACAAGGUUCCGGCAGGUGCGGGGAAACCAGGGUGAGACUGUGGCCACAGCAGGUUCACUAGGAACCUGAUCCCACCUUCAGGGAUUCCAGGUUUCAGCGCACCGGUCGGGAUCAGUGGGUUGACGGGGAGCCGAAGAAGAAAGACAACAGAGGGCUCUAACAGGUGCUGAGGGACGGCGAAGUCCAAAGAGGACGGCAGAGUCCGACAAAUUCUGCAAAAACAGACGACAAAGUGUGAUACGUCAGGUCGGCGGAGACCAACAAAUUCUGCAAGCAAAAGUUUAAAAAGAAAAAAAAAAAAAAUGAGUGUGAGUGUGAGUGUGGUUGGAGUUUAGAAUACCACUUGGUAUUUUAAACUCAUACAAAGCAGUGGGAACAAAUAGCAGACUGGUGUGGAUGCAACAGGCAAGAAUUCUCCACUCGAAAGAGUUGAAGUGAGAAUUACCACAUCAGGUUGAGCUGCUAUCCCACUGGAUGAAUCCCAGCCUAUUGAACACCCUAGGUGUUGACAGGACUGGACUAAAUUCUCUAAAAUACCGGUAUUCAAAUAAAUACAUAAAUAAAUAGUAUAAAUAGAAAUAAAUUAUAUAAAUGAAAUAAAAGACUAACAAGAGAAAAGAAAAGAGAAACACUGCAGUGAAAAAAUAAAAAAAAAACCCUGAAAUUAAUGAAACAUUAAAAUAAUGAAUAACAGAUUUAAUGAAAGUCUUCAUAAAUAGAAUUUAAUACAGGACAUGAUAAAAAUUUAAAGAAGAAAAAUGAGAAAAAGAUGAAUAGAAACGUCUGAAAGGUUAGGUUUCACAGAAAAGACAGGAGGCCUUUUCAGCCUCAUCAGCUACAGGCAGUGAGUGUUCUUUGUGUUUAUAGUCUGUUAUCGUGUGUUUUUGUCUGAGUUUGAACAAGCCGGCUGUUAUAGUGUCUUCGUGUGUUUUUGUAUAAGAAAAAGAUAGUUGUUAAGUGAAAGGGCUCAGCUGAGAAUUAAAUGCAGAACAGAUGAGAAGGAUAAAGAUGGUAUAAGAUGUAAUAUAAUAUGAUAUAAAUGACUGCUGGUCAGUUAAAAUAGGAAUACUUGAUGAGUGGAGGUCAAAUUGCUGGGAACAGUGUUCCAUCUUGCUGAACGGGGCAGGAUGAGACAGGAAGAAGCCGUGGGGGCUUCAGGGGUGAAAGAGGAAGAGGCCGUGGGGGCUUUCCUCCUGAAUGCUGGAACUUAGAAAAACCAGGACAUUUAGCUCAAAACUGUCCUCCCCAGAAAGAUCAGCCUAAGCAGACAACAUAUAUGCCCGAUUAUUCAGCAUGGCUAGCCGACCACAAGGGGGGGGAGUAAACAGGCGGUUUUGGACCUUGCAGAAAGGUCUUGGUGAAAUGAAACCCGAAGUGAUUUUGUUGGUAAAUGGCAAUCAGAUGAAGUUUUUGUGUGACACAGAAGCAUGUCGUACAACUUGUAGAGAACCUGUACCUGGUGUUGCUAAUUCAGGCAGAGAAGUUGUGAUUAACUCAGCUAAUUGUGAAAAAUUUGAUAAAAUCCUUCUGUUUCACAUUUUCACAAAUCAGAAACUGUUUUGAAUUUAUUCUUUACGAUCCAAAACCUGAUUUAAUGCAGGUUUAAGCAGUCUGGGUGCAGCAGUUCUUGAACUGUUUUUUGAUGUGAAAAAAAA